rnacentral:rRNA from 1 species
GACGAACGCUGGCGGCGUGCUUAACACAUGCAAGUCGAACGGUGAUGCUCCAGCUUGCUGGCGUGGAUCAGUGGCGAACGGGUGAGUAACACGUGAGCAACCUGCCCCAGACUCUGGAAUAAGCGCUGGAAACGGCGUCUAAUACUGGAUACGAAACUGGCCCGCAUGGGCAUGGUUUGGAAAGUUUUUCGGUUUGGGAUGGGCUCGCGGCCUAUCAGCUUGUUGGUGAGGUAAUGGCUCACCAAGGCGACGACGGGUAGCCGGCCUGAGAGGGCGACCGGCCACACUGGGACUGAGACACGGCCCAGACGCCUACGGGAGGCAGCAGUGGGGAAUAUUGCACAAUGGGCGAAAGCCUGAUGCAGCGACGCCGCGUGAGGGAUGACGGCCUUCGGGUUGUAAACCUCUUUCAGCAGGGAAGAAGCGAAAGUGACGGUACCUGCAGAAGAAGCACCGGCUAACUACGUG